rnacentral:rRNA from 1 species
UAGGGAAUCUUCGGCAAUGGACGAAAGUCUGACCGAGCAACGCCGCGUGAGUGAAGAAGGUUUUCGGAUCGUAAAACUCUUUUGGUAGAGAAGAACGUUGGUGAGAGUGGAAAGCUCNUCAAGUGACGGUAACUACCCAGAAAGGGACGGCUAACUACGUGCCAG